GUGAAAUUGUUGAAAGGGAAACGAUUGAAGUCAGUGGUACCGAUGAGAAAUCAACUCUUCGAAUGGUUAUUUGCGGGUGUAUGAGAGCUUUAUGGUCUCAUCGUUUAUAGAUGUUUGUUCUUUAGGUGUACUUUUUCAUAUGGUAGGUUAAUGUCAGUUUCGAUUGCUAUAAAAUGAUCAGAGGAAUGUAGCUUCGAUUUCAAUUGAAGUGUUAUAGCCUUUGGUAGAUGUAGUGAUUGGGACCAAGGAUUGCAACGAAUACCCUUUGGGCUAUCUGUCUGACCUCUGAACGUUACUUAGGUGCCAAAAGCGUGCUUACAGUUACUUAAGCCAGCAGUCAAAAGGCUAGAACGUGAUUAUAUUCGUUAAGAACGUUGACGUAAUGGCUUUAAACGAC
rnacentral:rRNA from 1 species